UUCAUCCUUUCACCCCACGUGGGCACCAUAUGUACACAUCCAUUUUCAUCGUCACCUUCAUUUACUUUGUUUCAGAGCUACCUAUCUCUUCAGCACCACUCAGUAUACAUAUAUACAUCUCUUCAGGUUCGUUUCACCAUGACUUACUCCUUUUACAUAAGGCGGUCCAUUCUAUCAGGCAAUAAAGGCCAACAUUUUAGCAAGUUUUGGCACUUGCAAUCCUCUUAAUUUAAGGUUAAAGCUGACAAAAAGCACAAUGACUCAGAAGAUGUUUAAGAGUCACAUCAUCUGGAACUGCUGGCAGAUUGGCUUUAAGGGAUAAAUAAAAGGAAGAUUAAGGAAGGCUCUGUGGAUUCAAAACUAUGUGGAUGGUGACACUAUUUACUGAAAUGGGGAAAACCAGGAGACAGACAGGUCUGGAUGAGGGGGUGAAAUUAGGAGCUAUAGUCUAGGCAGAGCAAGUUUGACAGGCCUAAUGCAUACGCAACUCAGAAAAGGUUUGCAGAAAAGAAAAGAUUUACAGAACAAGCAAAGAUGCUUUAAAAGUUAGCCUGAAUAAAAUUCAUCAAGGCCUAGUAUUGCAAUUAUUAUCAGGAAUCUUCGUUAUUAUCAAUUAUUAGGAAUCCUCAUUCCUAAAUAAUGGAAGAUUUUGGACCCAAAGCUAUACAGCUUAUAGGAAUCUAAUAUAAUGCCAAAAUUUGCUUAUUUAAGCUGUCACUUAUCAAUUUUGUUUUAUGAAAAAAAUGUUUAUUUUUUCAAUUAUCACUGCUUUUCUUAUUUAGUGAAUAUCUGUAUUUCACAUAUUUGUCCAGGAGCUAAGAACCAGGAAAGGAAAGAUGUAGCUCCUGCCUUCAUAGACUAUAUUCCAGUAGAAGAGUCAGGAAAAAACAGACAUAGUGAUUCUGCUCUUCUGAUCAACCCUGAUUGACACAGCCACAGUUAGAGAACAUGGAAAGAGCUCCUCUUCAUUAACUAAUUUGAUAUUAACAUUGCUUUCAAUAUUUCCAAUCUCUGGAAAACUAUCUAUGAAAUCAUACCUAAUAAACACAUCAAAGCUUUGGAGUUACUCUUACCCCAACACCUGAAUUUAUCCUGGGCAUUUGGUUGGUGAAGCCUAGUCAAGCCCGUGUAACUGCAAUUGUCUGGAAGAGUGAGUCUAACGUGUUAAAAUUGCUACACUUCAGUGUUCUGAAUGCAUCCAUGUGUUCCAUGAUAUUGCAGGAGUCACAAGAAAGUGAAUCACAAGAUUAUUAGAAAGUAGAGAAAGCACUGCCUUCUGACUUACCUAACACAUUUUUUUCAUCACCCUGUUCUGAGAUUAUAAGAUCAGGAGUAACAGAGUCACUUUACAAAGAUAUUACAGUAUUUUGGUGAGAACCUUCGAAGAUUUUAAACUUAGAAAGUUCUUUUCACUUGUAAACAACCCAAAUGCCCAUCAAUGAUAGACUGGAUAAAGACAAUGUGGCACACAUACACCAUGAAAUACUAUGCAG